rnacentral:lncRNA from 1 species
UGUUGACAUUUGGUCUUUCUAUUACUUCUAGAUUACAUCUGAAUAAAAUGAAAGUUCUCCUUCUGCUCACAGCCAUCUUGGCAAUAACCAUUGGUUUCCCGGUCUCUCAAGACACGGAAGAAGAAGCACGAAGUGUCAGUGGGAGUGAUGAACUAUCUUCACAGUUCUUUUUUCCUCCUUACCAAUAUCCACGCAGCCAUUAUUCACGAUUCCUCUGUCCAUGGUGGGCCUAUUUUUAUCCUCCCAUUCCAGUACCUGCAUCUGUCUCUGCAACUACUCCUCUUAAUGAGAAGUAAAUAAGAAAGAGAAGUCC